GGCGCUGUGGCUUAGUUGGUUUAAGCGCCUGUCUAGUAAACAGGAGAUCCUGGGUCCAAAUCCCAGCAGUGCCU
rnacentral:tRNA from 1 species